GUGGGCAUGUGCCGACAGCUGGGCAGUCUCCUGAUGGAGCAGGUUUAGCUGUGGAGCUUGGUGCUGAUGUUGGAGCAGCUGUAGUGGCAGCACUUGUAGGAGCAACUGUGGAGCUGGGACCUGAAGUUGAUGCUGAUCCACCUGCACAACCUGCAUUUUCUGGCCAGUCACAUACCUCCAGAGUAGGGUUGAAGUGGAGUCCAGCAGGGCAGUCGAAUGUCACUGGUUUACCGUGGUCACAUUUGCAGAACUGACUGCAGUUUGAGGCAUGGGGAAGGUGCUUAGCGAUAGAAUUCUCAUCUUCAUUUUGUGGACAUGUGCCGACAGCUGGGCAGUCUCCUGAUGGAGCAGGUUUAGCUGUUGAGCUUGGUGCUGAUGUUGGAGCAGCUGUUGUGGCAGCACUUGUA